rnacentral:rRNA from 1 species
CCUGAACGCUGGCGGCAGGCCUAACACAUGCAAGUCGAGCGCCCAGCAAUGGGAGCGGCAGACGGGAUAGUAACACGUGGGAACGUACCCUUCAGUUCGGAACAACCCAGGGAAACUUGGGCUAAUACCGAAUACGUCCGUAAGGAGAAAGAUUUAUCGCUGAAGGAUCGGCCCGCGUCUGAUUAGCUAGUUGGUGAGGUAAUGGCUCACCAAGGCGACGAUCAGUAGCUGGCUGAGAGGAUGAUCAGCAUCACUGGGACUGAGACACGGCCCAGACUCCUACGGGAGGCAGCAGUGGGGAAUAUUGGACAAUGGGCGCAAGCCUGAUCCAGCCAUGCCGCGUGGAUGAUGAAGGCCCUAGGGUUGUAAAGUCCUUUCGACGGGGGAAGAUAAUGACGGUACCCGUAGAAGAAGCCCCGGCUAACUUCGUGCCAGCCGCCGCUGUAAU